GCAAGAUCCUACGUCAUCAAUUAAAAUUAAUAAGCAGCCAAGAAAAUUUUAAGUUCCUCAUAAAGAUGUUUUUCACAAGUGCUGCAAUUUUUUAACACAUGCAAAAAAAUACACAAUUAGCCAUAAGUAAAAUCUCAGAAGACACUCAAGGCUCCUGAUUGCAGAUAGAUUUUCUUUGUGGCCCCUACAUACAUCUACAUUUAUCAGAAGAUAUUUAGAUUUACCAUCAUUAAGUAGAGAACAGAUGU
rnacentral:misc_RNA from 1 species